AGGGAAUCUUCCACAAUGGACGCAAGUCUGAUGGAGCAACGCCGCGUGAGUGAAGAAGGUUUUCGGACCGUAAAGCUCUGUUGUUGGUGAAGAAGGAUAGAGGUAGUAACUGGCCUUUAUUUGACGGUAAUCAACCAGAAAGUCACGGCUAACUACGUGCCAGCAGCCGCGGUAAUACGUAGGUGGCAAGCGUUGUCCGGAUUUAUUGGGCUAGUAAAGCGAGCAG
rnacentral:rRNA from 1 species